rnacentral:rRNA from 1 species
GAUGAACGCUGGCGGCGUGCCUAAUACAUGCAAGUCGAGCGAACGGACGAGAAGCUUGCUUUUCUGAUGUUAGCGGCGGACGGGUGAGUAACACGUGGAUAACCUACCUAUAAGACUGGGAUAACUUCGGGAAACCGGAGCUAAUACCGGAUAAUAUUUUGAACCGCAUGGUUCAAAAGUGAAAGACGGUCUUGCUGUCACUUAUAGAUGGAUCCGCGCUGCAUUAGCUAGUUGGUAAGGUAACGGCUUACCAAGGCAACGAUGCAUAGCCGACCUGGGAGGGUGAUCGGCCACGCUGGGACUGAGACACCGGCCAGGCUCCGACGGGAGGCAGCAGUAGGGAAUCUUCCGCAAUGGGCGAAAGCCUGACGGAGCAACGCCGCGUGAGUGAUGAAGGUCUUCGGAUCGUAAAACUCUGUUAUUAGGGAAGAACAUAUGUGUAAGUAACUGUGCACAUCUUGACGGUACCUAAUCAGAAAGCCACGGCUAACUACGUG